AGGCUCGCGAAAUUUUGACAGUUUUGAGAAUCAAUAUUUUGAAUUUGAAUGGCACACCCGAACAAAGCAGCCACAAGAGCAGCAUUUUUCGUCAGCAGCAGAAGCAGCAGCCAUCUAUCUACUUGAUAAGUUUUCAUCAACAACAACCAGAUGCUACAAAUCAGCUCAACUUGACUCAACAUCCUGGAUCUGGCAAUCAGCCAACCAACAUUAAAUCGAUACAACCGUAGCAGUACCAACAACUCCAAAUCCAGCAGCUGCCAACAAUCUCUCAAAAAAGAACCACAGCAAUUACAGCUCAGAACCAACAAAGCAACAAGAGCUUUUUUUACGAAUAAUGGACCCAACGGACACAUUAUCGGCACAUUCUGUCGUAAAACUUGCCUGCCACUAUUCUUACCAGCGGUUGCCUUCCUGAUGUAGAGAAAUCAGAGUCAAACACAAACGUCAUAUUACUGCCUUGGCUCCUACCACC